AAUUAUCAACCUUGCUUGCUUUUACUAGCUCGCUUGGCUUGGAUGUGAGGGCUUUGCUGGCUUCCUUCAGUGGAUGGUCUGCUCCCUUUAAAUGCAUUAGUGGGAUCUCUUGUGGACCGUCACUUGGUGUGAUAAUUAUCUAUGCCAUAUGACUUUGAAGCAAAACUUAUGAGAGCCUGCUUAUAACCGUCCGCAAGGACAACUCUUGACA
rnacentral:misc_RNA from 1 species